UUUUACAGCCAUAUAACCCUGCAGCCCAAGACCGGUUACUCACUGAAGCUAAGCAGGGCUGAGCCUGGUCAGUGCCUGAAUAGGAGACCACAUGGACAAACUAGGUUGCUAGUGGUGU
rnacentral:rRNA from 1 species